UUGUCACCGAUCCUCUGACUUCUCUCCUUGAAUGUAGAUAAAGAGAUCUGUCCGAGUGGAGUCACCAUCAACAAGGCAGAGGUGUGUGACGGUACAGACGACUGUGGAGACAAUACAGACGAGCAGAGCUGCUGCGAGCGGCAAGGUAGACUGGCCUGCAGCAAUGGACAGUGUAUAGAUUCACAAAAAAAUGUGUGCCAAAACCCACAUUCCCUGCUUUGGUGAACCGAAAGGACAAUAUGCUAGAUGUGACGACGUGGAGGAUUGUUUGGAUGGCAGCGACGAGUCCUGCUCACCCUCUGCCUGUGACAAUGGAGCCCUGUUCCAUCAGCUUUCUCGGUGUGACGGCAGAGACGACUGUGGGGACAACAGUGACGAGCAGAACUGU